AUUGAACGCUGGCGGCAUGCCUUACACAUGCAAGUCGAACGGUAACGCGGGGCAACCUGGCGACGAGUGGCGAACGGGUGAGUAAUGCAUCGGAACGUGCCCAGUAGUGGGGGAUAGCCCGGCGAAAGCCGGAUUAAUACCGCAUACGACCUACGGGUGAAAGGGGGGAUCGCAGGACCUCUCGCUAUUGGAGCGGCCGAUGUCAGAUUAGGUAGUUGGUGGGGUAAAUGCCCACCAAGCCUUCGAUCUGUAGGUGGUCUGAGAGGACGACCAGCCACAGUGGGACGGAGAGACGGCCCAGACGCCUACGGGAGGCAGCAGUGGGGAAUUUUGGACAAUGGGCGCAAGCCUGAUCCAGCCAUGCCGCGUGCGGGAAGAAGGCCUUCGGGUUGUAAACCGCUUUUGUCAGGGAAGAAACGCUCUGGGCUAAUACCUCGGGGUAAUGACGGUACCUGAAGAAUAAGCACCGGCUAACUACGUGCCAGCAGCCGCCGUAA
rnacentral:rRNA from 1 species